GAUGAACGCUGGCGGCGUGCCUAACACAUGCAAGUCGAGCGAAGCGCUUAAAUUAGAUUUCUUCGGAAUGACGAUUUUUGUGACUGAGCGGCGGACGGGUGAGUAACGCGUGGGUAACCUGCCUCAUACAGGGGGAUAACAGUUAGAAAUGACUGCUAAUACCGCAUAAGACCCCAGCUUCGCAUGAAGCGGUGGUAAAAACUCCGGUGGUAUGAGAUGGACCCGCGUCUGAUUAGCUAGUUGGUAAGGUAACGGCUUACCAAGGCGACGAUCAGUAGCCGACCUGAGAGGGUGACCGGCCACAUUGGGACUGAGACACGGCCCAGACUCCUACGGGAGGCAGCAGUGGGGAAUAUUGCACAAUGGGGGAAACCCUGAUGCAGCGACGCCGCGUGAAGGAUGAAGUAUGUCGGUAUGUAAACUUCUAUCAGCAGGGAAGAAAGGGACGGUACCUGACUAAGAAGCCCCGGCUAACUACGU
rnacentral:rRNA from 1 species